AGUGAUAGUGGCGUUUCCUUCUUGAGGAAUCAAUGAUGUCCUUGAGCUCUUCUAUGUCUCUUCCUUGCCUUUGUUGCUCCUCCUUCAGUGCUUUUAGAUCUUCUCUGAUUUCAUGAAGGAUGAUGGAGUGCUCUUGAAGUUCCACCCUUAGUGGUUUCCAAUUUGUGU